GACGAACGCUGGCGGCGUGCUUAACACAUGCAAGUCGAACGGAGUGGCGAACGGGUGAGUAACACGUGGGUGAUCUGCCUUGCACUUCGGGAUAAGCUUGGGGAACUGGGUCUAAUACCGGAUAGUGCAAGAUGAGCUCGCGGCCUGUCAGCUUGGUGGUGGGGUAAUGGCCUACCAAUGCGUCGACGGGUAGCCGGCCUGAGAGGGGGUACGGCCACAUUGGGACGACGAUACGGCCAAGCCUCCUACGGGAGGCAGCGGUGGGGAUGAUUGCACACUGGGCGGAAGCCUGAUGCAGCGACGCCGCGUGGGGGAUGAAGGCCUUCGGGUUGGAAACUCCUUUCGCCAGGGACGCGGUACCUGUAUAAGAAGCACCGGCUAACUACGUGCCAGCAGCCGCGGUAAUAC
rnacentral:rRNA from 1 species